rnacentral:tRNA from 3 species
GGCUGGGUAGCUCAGUUGGUACGAGCGAUCGCCUGAAAAGCGAUAGGUCGCCGGUUCGAUCCCGGCCCCAGCCACCG